rnacentral:rRNA from 1 species
AUUGAACGCUGGCGGCAUGCCUUACACAUGCAAGUCGAACGGUAACAGGUCUUCGGAUGCUGACGAGUGGCGAACGGGUGAGUAAUACAUCGGAACGUGCCCGAUCGUGGGGGAUAACGAAGCGAAAGCUUUGCUAAUACCGCAUACGAUCUACGGAUGAAAGCGGGGGGUCUUCGGACCUCGCGCGGCCGGAGCGGCCGAUGGCAGAUUAGGUAGUUGGUGGGAUAAAAGCUUACCAAGCCGACGAUCUGUAGCUGGUCUGAGAGGAUGAUCAGCCACACUGGGACUGAGACACGGCCCAGACUCCUACGGGAGGCAGCAGUGGGGAAUUUUGGACAAUGGGCGCAAGCCUGAUCCAGCCAUGCCGCGUGCAGGAUGAAGGCCUUCGGGUUGUAAACUGCUUUUGUACGGAACGAAAAGGUGCCUUCUAAUAAAGGGCGCUCAUGACGGUACCGUAAGAAUAAGCACCGGCUAACUACGUG